CAAACAUACUGAAUCUGAAAUCUUAAAAGCCAAAGCAAUUUCAAUCAUUACAUCCUAAGGAUUUUUAUGUGUGAAUUGAAUUUGUAAAUGAACAACUAAACUAACGCAUUAUAAACCACAAAGUGCCCGAUCUUACACUAAUACAUACAUGCAGUCCAUUUUGGAUUCAAUUUCUGACUCGUAGCUUAUUCUAAGUCUAACUUUCAAAUGUCCAUGAUAGCAAAUCUGAAUUGACUUAUACUACAACUGACAUUUCUAAUACUACUCAUAAAAGUUUUAAUGUCUAGUUAUUAGUACUAACGAAUAUCAUAGAUCUCAAAAUCAGUUUCCAGUUCAAGCUAUUCUCUAAUUUUAAAAGUUAAACUACCACAAUAAAAACAAACUAAACUAUACUAAGGCUAAUGAAUAAUCACUAACCUAACAGUCCAAACAGUCCAUUACAAAUCAUAUUAAUUGCAAUAAGAUACAAUAAAGCCAUAAAAAAGUUAGAAUUUACAACAAAAACUCAUGCGUCAAACUUCACUUCAUUUUCUCAACUUGAGAUCUACAUUGGAACGGAUUCAAGGAGUGUACCUGGAAGUUCAAAAUAUAAUAAGAAGAAGGAGAAAUCAUCAGUAGUAGUGAUCAAAUAGCAGUGUGAAACGGCAGCAGUAAGGAGCCGUUCUAGAACCAAACAUCAUCACAAACCCAUAAAUGAACCCAACAACUAACACGUACAGUAAAUAGCAACAAUAACCAGCUCGAACAUACCAGAUUCAACUCAAAAUUGACUCCAGAAGCGUUUAAAACUGAAUAAGUGAACAAAAACAGGAAACCAUUUUGGAUCUUGGAUAAGCCGGAGAUUUGAAUUAGGAGCUAGAAUUCGAAACUAUUGCAAGGAACUUCAAUGGAAUAGUAUUUUUGGAGUUUUUUUUGUUGUUUUUGGUUUUUUGAAGAUUUAAGAUUUAGAAGGAACUCUCACACUCUCAAAUUUCAGCUUUUGAUUUUGAAUUUUAAAAUUCAAAAUUAUCAGUCCUAAAACUUGUGAGACAAGGCAUAUGGCAUGCCUUUUAUAGGCAUAACUAAGGGCUUCUCUCAGAUUUGCAGUUU
rnacentral:lncRNA from 1 species